rnacentral:rRNA from 1 species
UACGGGGGGGGUAAGCGUUGUUCGGAAUUACUGGGCGUAAAGGGCUCGUAGGCGGCCAACUAAGUCAUACGUGAAAUCCCUCAGCUUAACUGGGGAACUGCGUGUGAUACUGGAUGGCUUGGAUUUGGGAGAGGGAUGCGGAAUUCCAGGUGUAGCGGUGAAAUGCGUAGAUAUCUGGAGGAACACCGGUGGCGAAGGCGGCCUUCUGGACCAAUACUGACGCUCAUGCACGAAAGCGUGGGGAGCAAACAGG